GACGAACGCUGGCGGCGUGCUUAACACAUGCAAGUCGAGCGGUAAGGCCCUUUCGGGGGUACGACGAGCGGCGAACGGGUGAGUAACACGUGGGUGACCUGCCCUCAGCUCUGGGAUAAGCCUGGGAAACUGGGUCUAAUACUGGAUAUGACUCCACGGUGCAUGUCGGUGGGGUGGAAAGCCUUGUGCGGCUGAGGAUGGGCCCGCGGCCUAUCAGCUUGUUGGUGGGGUGAGGCCUACCAAGGCGACGACGGGUAGCCGGCCUGAGAGGGCGACCGGCCACACUGGGACUGAGACACGGCCCAGACUCCUACGGGAGGCAGCAGUGGGGAAUCUUGCGCAAUGGGCGAAAGCCUGACGCAGCGACGCCGCGUGAGGGAUGACGGCCU
rnacentral:rRNA from 1 species